rnacentral:rRNA from 1 species
AGAGUUUGAUCAUGGCUCAGGACGAACGCUGGCGGCGUGCUUAACACAUGCAAGUGGUGCGACGAACCAGGGCUUGCCCUGGGGCCAAGCCGCGAACGGGUGAGUAACACGUGAGUAACCUGCCCCGAUGACUGGGACAACCCGAGGAAACUCGGGCUAAUACCGGAUGUUGUGCACAAAUUGAUUUUGUGUACUAAAGGAAGCUUCGGCCUCCGCAUUGGGAGGGGCUCGCGGCCCAUUAGCUUGUUGGUGGGGUAACGGCCUACCAAGGCUUCGAUGGGUAGCUGGUCUGAGAGGACGAUCAGCCACACUGGGACUGAGACACGGCCCAGACUCCUACGGGAGGCAGCAGUGGGGAAUCUUGCGCAAUGCGCGAAAGCGUGACGCAGCAACGCCGCGUGGGGGAAGACGGCCUUCGGGUUGUAAACCCCUUUCAGGAGGGACGAAGGUUCGGCGGUGAAUAGCCGACCGGAUUGACGGUACCUCCAGAAGAAGCUCCGGCUAACUACGUGCCAGCAGCCGCGGUAAUACGUAGGGAGCAAGCGUUGUCCGGAAUCAUUGGGCGUAAAGCGCGCGUAGGCGGCCUCAUAAGUCCGUUGUGAAAGUCAAAGGCUCAACCUUUGAAAGCCGAUGGAUACUGUGAGGCUAGAGUCCGGAAGAGGCGAGUGGAAUUCCUGGUGUAGCGGUGGAAUGCGCAGAUAUCAGGAGGAACACCAAUAGCGAAGGCAGCUCGCUGGGACGGUACUGACGCUAAGGCGCGAAAGCGUGGGGAGCGAACAGGAUUAGAUACCCUAGUAGUCC